GGGAGAGGAGUGGGUGUGCUUUCCAAGCCGGGCGCCUUCAUCAAGGUUUUCAAGGGAUACUGAUGCACACGAAACAUGAGGGAACGGAACUGCUGAGCAAACAGAAAUGCAGAAUCUUUGUUUAAUACUAGAAAUUCAACAAACACAUCGGAAUCCAAAGCGGAGAAAGAAUAAACUAGAAGGCGUAAUACAAAGUAUCCAGCCAUUAUGAUCUCUGUUAUCUCUAAAAUAAAAAAUAGAAAUGGAAAAGAAAAAUAUUUCAGUGCAUUUUGUUGUAGAUACCUAUUGUGCUGUAUGUGGAAGGACUGCCUUAUUGAGCAGAACAAAGUUGAUAAUUUCACUAACUUGUGUUGCUUUGCAAAUAUGUGACCAAAGUGUGAAUUGAGUGUGAAUUAGUUUUCAAGUGCAAGUUAGCACAUAGUAAAAUAUUAAGGUUUCCAUGGUUGAUUUUGAGAAUUUUUCAAUAGAAAUUUAAUCACCUUCCAUUGUAGGUAAACAGUUUAGAGGAACACCUAAAUAGUUAUGUGCUUAAUUAGAUUGUCAGGACAAUAUAGUUCAAUAGGUGAUGAAGGAAACAACACGUAUAAGCAGAUCAUUUGAUUAAAUACUAAAAUUGCAAAUAUUCUAAGUAUAGCAGUGUGAUGCUGCCUAAAAAUCUUGAUGUAAGAGCACAGAAAAGAUCUCUUCAUUCAAGUCUUACACCAUAAUCUCCAAAGGCAUAGUUGCCUACAUAUAAGUUAAAAAUUCACAUCUUACUUGGUAUUGAAAGAGUCAGUGAAGCUGCUUUCCUCCUCCCUUCUCCUCUUGUGCUUCCUCCAGAAGCAGGAGGGAAGCCAGUCUUAUGGCUCAGCUCCAUGAGUUCCAUACCCUUGGCUACUUGGGUCUGCACAACCUGAGACUGAACCAACACGGCUCAACAAGGUGACUGCACAGCAUAGAAGCUACCACUGCACUGAUAAGCACAAGCACAGUAACAGCAAAUAUAAAGGCACUUGAGGAACCUAUACAUAAUUCCAUUUUUCAUUAAAGUUUUAUCUAUACAGGCACUAAACUGAAAGAAAAUAAGAGAAAAAAAUAUUAAAGUAGAACAUAUAGUAAAAUACUGUAAAAAACAAGGUAUUAAAAUAAACCAUAUUAUUUAACAUUAUUAUAGAAAUCCUUGUUCUGAGAAAUGUCAUUUCCUGAGAGGCUUUUUUCUCCUCUUCUCCCUGACUCAACUGUCUCUAAAGAUAUUUCCAUCCACCAUUUAAAGUUUGUGCAAAAACAAAAAAAAAUGAAGGGAUGUUUGUUACUUGCUAUGAGAACCAGUAUUCUGAGUGAUCAACUGAUUCAGUUUAGUAGCUGAAGAAACAUAGUAAAAGUAACACAGAGACCUUCAAAACUGAAGGCUUUUUUUUUUUUUUUUUUUUUUUUGUGAAAUCAACUGAAAUAAUUCUGUCUUUAAGCAAAGCUCUUUGCAGAGAGACACAUUAGGUUUUUCAGCUGAGAUGCAUUAAUAUUUUAGUCAAGCCUUUCAUGGCAUUUAGUGUUGCAUCUAUAAUGCAGCAUAUCAGAAGUAGACUGACUCUCUUAGGAUCCUAAUUAUUUCUGUAAUUUUAAAACCUGGUAGAAUAUGGGUAACCGUAGUAAUUAUAGGCCAAUUUUCUUAAUUAAUGCAGUCUGCAAAAUAUUCACACAAGUAGUAGAAAAAAUGAUUAAAACUGAUUCCUACUAAAAUUAAUUCAUAAAAUACUGACACUGAAACAAUAUCAAAAAGCUCUUCUUUGACCUCAUAAAUGACAUUUACAAUGAAAGUAAUGAGAUGAUAGGUAUAGUACCAACUACAACAAAAGGGACAAAAUUCAAGAUUUAAUAGUGUAAUAUUCUUUGCCAGCAUAAAACCAGAAUAAUGUAAUGGAACAACAAAAAAUGAUUUUUUGGAAAAAUAAUUUCUUAAUUAGGUUAAGCUACUUCUGAUAUCAAGGAUGAACUCCAGCACCAUAAAAUUCUGUCACUUCUGGUUUAUUUUUUGGUAAAAUGAACUGAUAAUUAUUUUCUAUUCUCAUUUUCAGUGUUCAAUCAUGAUUAACGUGAAGUUUUAGAGCAGACACACAAAAAAAUUCCAAAGGGAAUUAAAAAUGAGGAAGAAUCAUAAUUUUACAAUGCAACAUAACAAAAGAUAAUAACUGCUGAUGCAAUCCUAGAAAAAGCCAAAACUCAGCGAUACAUCUAGUGAAGAUAUAGGUCCCACUCUAUUGCAUUUUACACAGUCAUGUUUGCAUGAACUGACUUUGAAGUGAGAUCAAAAUUCAAUGUAUUGUAAUCUAGAACCAGUAAAAUACAACCUUGUAACCCUGGACCACAAAAUAUAAUCUGUCAGUAUUCUGCCAGCAAAGUGUAGAGACAUUUAGGGAUGAGAAUCCACUCUGUAACUGUAACUAAGGGUCUUGGACAACCACCUUCUGAUAUGUACAGAGUUCUAGAUGCCUGCUUAAGCCAAGAGAAAGUUUUCAAGCUGCCAGGGAAUAUGGGACUUCUGAUAAAGCUGUCUUCAGAGCAGUGCUCCUAAAAGUGCGAUACUGUCUUAGAAAGCAAUUAGCUCAUUUCAGCUUACAUCCAGUCAACAACACAGGUUAAAAAAAAGUCCAUGCGCUUUCUUAUUUGCCAGAACUUGAUCAUUUAAGCUAAAUGGAUAUGAGACAUGGCUCUACAUGACUUAGUACUAGCCUUCAAGACCCAACUGCCCACCUGGGAGUUGUUAGAAAACCUAUAUAAUAACAUACCAUAUAUACAUUCUGAAAUCCAACUUAUUAUGUCUACUUACGCCCACGCACAUCAACUACUGAAUCAGCAUCAAACUAAUUGUGUCUGUUUGUUGCAAUCAUAUGUGCAUAAUUUCAUGCAUUACAAUGCUUUCCAAAGACAUCACAGUCAGAUAAAAAAAAAAUACCAUCUUCCCAGACAACAUGGAAUUCAGAGAACUCUUAGAUCCCAUUAAAAAAUAAAGAUAGAAAAAGGGAAAUCCUACUACAAAUCCUGCAGGAUCACAAAACAAGUUGUCUUUCUAUCUUAUUGUAUUUUGUUUGGGUUUUUGUUCGUUCGUUUGUUUGUUUAUAAAAUGUGACUGUUAGAAACAGCUACGGGCCGGUAAAUGUAAGAUAUUUCUGCAAAAGCAGAAUAAUAGCAGUAUCAAAACAAAGAGUUAAAUAUGCAGAAUAAAUAAAUAUAAUUCACAAAUACAAUAUGAAUAUCCUCUUAUUAUUGAGUGCAUAAUGCAUGAAUUAAACACUAAGAAUGUACCCCAUAAAUGUCAUCUGAUAAGAGCCUUUGCCUCUUCUUUACAAAAUAAUAUCCAUCAGUUUGCAAGUUUUAUCUGAGAAAAAGUUAUAUCAUUGUCUUGCUCUUUGCGAUUUGCUAGAACUCAAGCCCUGUGACUAUUCAAUUAGUCACAGAGAAAAGAUAAGUUAAAAACAGGUAGGAUAUAUCUGUAUCCUGCCACAGUAUCAAGGAAGAUUAGCUGUAGAGGACAUUUAAGCUAUUGCAGUUCUAUCUAAUUUCUGAUGAGGACAAGAAUAUUGUUAGGGAAAUGUAACAGAAGAGUACUCCCCACAGAAUAGUUUUCCCAUGUUGCUCUAUAACAGAGCUGUUAUAGAGGCAUGGCUACAGCCAAUCCAAAUUUCAUGGGCCCGUUAUAAGAUUUUUUUCUCUUGUCAAUAGCCAAUUUGUUCCAUAUUACAAACACACCAAUUCCCUUCCAAUUGCAUUUGGAAUACAGGCAAAUACCAUUUCCUGUUACCAACUGAAAUACAAAUAUGACAUCAAUCAAAAUGCUCUACCUAGCUUUCCAAAAUAGUUUAUGAAUUGAUCUGUUACUGUUAAAAAUAAAAGGUAUGCAGAGUAAAAGCGGAAGGAGGGUUUGGCUCUCCAUGUGAAGAUAGAGCUAUUCUCCCUACAUACAUUCAUGAUCUACUUCUUGUGCCUUUAUACUGAGAAAACCUUAAUUCUUAACUGGUUAGCUCUCCUGGUGGGGAAAAAAAAAAAAAAAAAAAAAAGCAAACACUUUCCUUCUUAUGACACACAGUUUGCCUUUUUUGUUGGCUUGUUUUUGUUAUUUGCACAGCACUAGUUAAUAUCACCCGCAUUUGUUUUCCAUCUGGAUAUCCCAUCUACAUAAGUACUGAGGAACUCAUACAGAUGUACAAGUUAUCCAUACAGCACUUAUUACAUCAUUAAUAGCAUCAAACUUUUUGCCAGUGUCUGCUAAUCAUCCAGAAACAUCCAAUCUACAAAAACAGUAGCUGUAGGAUAUCAAGGAUAUGUUUGACAUUUUCUGAAAAUGCUGAAUGUAAUGGCUAUAAGCCAUGCUAUACAGUCAUUACAUAUACACAACAAGACUGAUGUUGCAAGGAAGAAUCAAAAUCCCUCAGUCAGGACAAAGAGCAUGUUAUGGUCUUCUAAACUCAGUCAAUAUGUGGCAGCCCUAUUCAUACAUAAUUUAUUUGGAAAGCCAUGAGGUAGCUACACUUAUUCUCCUACAAUUUCCCAUUCAUAAUGAUUCUUCAUUCAAUGCUAACGUACAGAUGUUUUUGGUACAAAUUGUAAGAGCUAUAUGAUGGGAGUAUGGGUAAUAACAUGAGCCUUCCAUCAUGAUCUAGAAUUGUAGACUAUUAAGCUAGAUUGGUGGAACUUCUUCUGUCUGUCUGAGAAAGUGAAAUAGAUUUACAUGUAUUCCCCACCAUCAUUUAAUAUUGUGGAAAGGGCAUUACAUGGAAAAGGUAUUUUGUCGUCUCAACUUUAACAUUCAGCUACUGAGUCUGGAAAUUAUCUUCAGGAAGGCAUAAAAACUCUUUCCCAAUAUUUGAAAAAAAAGCUAAUUUAAAAUUAAAAAAAAAAUCUAUGCAAUUAGUAUUUAUAUUUUCAUAACAAUCAGAAGAUCUAAUUAAGAUCAAAGCCAUGAGAAAUUAUUAUGCAAACUAAACAUAGAGGAAGUAAAGGGAAAUCAGUCCACAUCCUGAGCUAUUUGCUCUCACUUGUUCCCUGUAUGCUACCAGCUCUGAUCUGCUGGAAAUAAACAUUGAGAUGUUUUCGUGCCCAUUGACUCCAAUGUACCAUGCGAACAGGUUAGCAAGCAUAUUUAAACAAUUGCUUAAAAGUGUAUUAAUAAAUAAAUAUUCUUAUGCAAUAAGAUAAUGCCUUUGAAAUUUCCUAGGCUUGUCAAAUCAUCUUGACAGCAUGUCAUGCCCUGUUACACUGGUAUAUUAUGUAAGGCCGAAUGCCAAAAUAAGAAUGCAUAACAGAAAAAUUAUUUUAGCCCAAGUGCCUUUGGGACUUUCAAUAUUAAUCCAGUUCUAACAUUCUGUACUCUAAGUAAGAAUGAAGACUGCAUUAUUAGUUGUGUGCAACCACAGGGGGCGCUUACAUUUCAUACAAAUUAAAAUUUAUUUUCAAGGAUACUAGCUUUGCAUCUAAUGCCAGAAUUUUAUGCAUUUCAGGCUUUUCAACAUACACGAGUCAUGGACUGAGUAAAUUAAUUUCCAUGAUGAUUUUUUUCUAUUAGUGAGGUCCUCAUAAAAUAAUUAAAAGUAAAGCUUAGCCUAGUCAUGGAACAGAAAACUCAAAAUGUGUUUCAAAAAGGUUUCAACUAGAAAAGUUUGAGGAGAUGAGAACUGAAGAUCUACCAAUAAAGGUUGACUUAAUUUGAGCUGUCUACAGGAUGUUUACAUAAUGCUUUGAAAGUAUUUACUGUGUUAAUUCCUUCCCUAGUUUUUUCUCCUCAAUUAGUCUGAAAAUAUAAGCAGUUUUUAUUUCUCAGUAUUUUUCAGUAAUAUUUGACAAACAUGGCCAAUGGAAGGAUUGUCUCUUUUUCUACAGCCAGUGGAUGGUUCAAGUACAAUUCAGUUAAGUGGAAGGUUGUUGCUAUCAAAUACUUCACACUUUAACUGUAUAGACCAGAACUACAUGCCAGUACCAGGUAAUCUGAAAAUCAAGCACAUGACUACUCAUCCCCAUAACCAUUCUGAUUUCUGCCUUUUAUAACUGUGGAUUCCCACUCAAACCAUUUUCUUUUUCUAUUUUUAUUUUUUAUAAACUAUGCACAUGCAUUGGAAUACUAGUAAUCUGAUAGUUUUGACUUCUGAAACAUAAAGUAUGUAACAAACACCCAAAAAAUGUGUACAAGUGGAGAUAAUGAACUCUGAAAGCUUCUUUUAUUAAUAUUCUGAUCACACUUUCAAACAAUCUGCAGAGCUUAAUGAAUGCACAAAAAUUCAAAUGUCAGUGGAUAUAAAGAGAAAUUGUAUUUAUGUAUAAGUAGAAUUAGCUUUUCAUCUAAGAACUGACUGAGAUGAUUUGAAGAUGAAUCACUAGCAACAGCAAACUACAGUAAAAUGAGAGGAUGAACAAGUAAUCAUCUUUAAGACUAAUGACACAAGAACAAUGGCAUACCUUCACAAUUUUUAAUGUGUAUAAUAAAUAAAAGGACCAAUUUCCUUACAGUUAAUAUGUAUUUCUUUAUGAAUUAAUGCAAGUAACACUCCCAAAAUUCAAUUAAAAAUUACUCUUAAAUAUGUUUGUAUGUUUAAUGAAAUGUACAGAUACUUUGUUCUCUGGCUAAUUAUUUUGAAAUAUUUCUUUCUAUUUCCAGGUUGGAAAAUACCUAAGAUAUCAUAUAAACUGUGGUCUCCUUGUGACAGGCAUCUUAGAAUCACAGAAUCAUAGAAUAGUUUGGGUUGGAAUGGACUUUUAAGAUCAUCAAUUUACGAGUCCCAUGCUAUAGACAGGGACACCUCUCUCUAGACCUUAAGUAUUUCUGGAACAAUUUGCAUUCUAGAAAACACAUACAUCUGUUCUGGAGUUCCAAAGACUUUUGUAAAAAGAACAAGAAAGAAUGAAAACAUACACAUGAAUACUGAUUUAUUAUAGAAGAAAAUUUUUUGAGCAUUUGUUUAUCACAAACAUACAUGGAUGUUUGUUCAGGGUAGUGUAUUGGAAUAAAUGUUAGGGUGCGUCAUGGUUCUGGCCCAGUUUGGCCUAGUUCUGUGACUAAUUGGGAAGGGGGAGCCCAUGGUCCCAUGCCCCAGGAAAGGGGAGCAGGGAAAAAGUGGGGAGAUGGGCCUAAAAAACAGAACAGCAGCAACAAGCUAAAAGAGAAAACUAAUUUUCUGAAUACUAAAUAUGAUAGCGAGAUAAUGCAAUGUGAUAUAAUAGAAUUGGAAUUGAUGCUAAUAAAUCCAAUAAAAUGAGAGAAUGUCCAAAACCUAAGGCCUUACUCUAAUGCUGUUGCUUAGACAGGUAGGUAGCAUACUCUGCAGUGACAAACAGAAAGACGGAAAGGCAAUUUUGUGCCUCUCAAACAGUUCUAUUUUUCCCUCUGAACAGAAAACGGGAACAGAAUAAUGAAGUCUUCUGGGAGCUGUAGUUCUUCAUUUCUUCCAGAACUAUCAACAAACCGCCUAACUGGAGUCUUUUAGGCAGGGCUAUGCUCUAUCCUCACAUCCCCCAGCUUGUUUUUAUAGCGGAAGUUGUCAAAUCCUUCCAAUAUGGAGAGAAGGAUGUUUUGAGAAACAAUGUCAAAGGCCUUACUGAAAUUCAAGUAGAUGACAUCAGUGACUCUUCCCUUGUAUCUGACACAGUUACACUGUCACAGGAAGCCAGCAGGUUGGUUAGACAGGAUUUGCCUCUAAUGAAGUAAUUCUGGUUGUUUCACAUCACCUCUCUUUCUUCUGUGCUCCUUAGAAUCUGCUCCAUGAUCGUCCCUAGCACAGAUAUAAGGCUGCCUACCUGUGCAGCCCACUGUAGAGAGCCUGCUUGGGCAGAGGGGUUGGACUCAAUAACCACCAGAGGUUCCUUCCAACCCCUACAAUUCUGUGAUUCUGUGACAGGUUGGUAGUUCACUGCAUUGUCCUUUCUCUCUUCUAGAAAAUAGGUGUGAUAUUGAUUUUUUUCCAGUCACCAAGGACUUCACCUGACUGCCAUGAUUUUUCAAGUAUUAUUGAGAGUGGCGUGGCAUAUGCAUCAGUCCACUCCCUCAGGUAACUCAAUAGCAAGAGCUCUUGAGUUAAAUCAACAAAACCUGAAAGCACUGAUGUGAUUGCCACACAGGUUCUCUCAGCCAAACUGGAAGAAGAUGACUGGAAAUUAUUUCUUUCACAUUUCAAAUAUUUCUUUAUUUUUUUUUUCUGAUAUUAAAAAAAAAAAAAAAAAAUCAGAAAGAAAAAGCUGAACUAUCAUGUCCUGAUUAAGAUUCAUGUUAGUCUCACAGUUUCCCCUUCAAAUUUCAAUACUCAUGCUUGUUUUCAAAACUUUGUUCUUGGUUGCUACUGUCAACAGGAAGGAGGAAAAUAAGAAUAAGGAUCACCGAUCGUCACUUCUAUAAAAACCAUUUCUGAUAACCACUAUCUCCUAUCCAGAGAAGUUAAAUUUUUAAAAUUUUUAAAGAUUUCUUACAGAAUCAGUCUUCCUAUCUUAUUUUUCCUUUCUAUAAGAUAACAUACCUAUAAUGAUUCCAAAUAAUAAUUAAUUAUUUCCUUCAGGUUAAACUGAGAGGAUUAAAAUUCAGCAAACACCUUUAAUACAUUGCUGAACUGGACCUCCAGGUUAGCCUGCUGUCAGGUAUUGUGUGCAACUCAUGACAGCUAUUCACAUUCUUUCCUGACAAUUGCUGACAGGUCAGCACUCUGAAAUAUCAGAAACGACAGCACUGUCCAGUAUAUACCUCCAUUUCAGUGGUAACAACAGACAGAAUUUCAAGAUCAAUUACAUGUCUGUCACAACAGAAACAUAUAUCUAUUAAGAUAUAUAAUGGGCUUCCACUGCUGUAAUGACUUUUAAAUGUUGAACAUUAAACAUUGCCUGAGGUAGUCUCCCAGGCAUAUUGCAACAACUGUAAUUGUCUUCAAUAUUUGGAAAUAAGAAUGAUCACAAAAUGGUCACUUUUUCAUAACAGCUUGCAAUUGGAAAACUGACAUUGUACUUUUUUUUUUUUUUCAACAAAAGUGACCUAGCAUUUAAAAUGAUUAAUGCCUUUAAUUAAUAAUAUGGUCAGCUAUUGCUAAAUAGGUUAAAUUUGUAGCAUAUUAUUCAUAGUGUAAUGACAAAUAUGUUAAUAUAUUAAAAAUUCAGAGCCAGUGUUUCCACAUCUUUGUCAACUUGAUUAUAUGACACAAAGAUCAACUGCUUCUUUCCACAUUGUUAUAGCAGGAAUCAACACCAGUAUGGGGAUACAUCCACUUGAAAAUCCAGACUUUUUUCAUAAAUAUCUGAGUCAGCUGAUUUAUGGCAAGUUCUGUUUUAUACACUGUCUCCACUCAAAUCCAACUAGAGAUCAGAUGUCAAAUUGGACAGCUGACACAGAAAAGGGAGGUCUCUUACUCUCCAUACCACAGACUUCAGUCCUUCCUGCAGCAGUUACAGGUAUAUGCACUGUCAGAUACUUACAUUCACCACCACUGUGAAAGACAGCAGCAAAAUCUGAAGCUCAAAAAGAAAUAAUUCUAAUAAUACCAAGCUAGAACCUAGGAUACCAAGUCUGUCAGCACUUCCCUGUUGGCUCUGCACUUGCGUACACAAAGAUCCCACUCCUCACACUGAAUACUCUAAGAGCAGACCUGCAGUCUCUUGCAUCUUUACAAAAUUCCUUGUUCUCAGUCCCAUACUAUCAGUAGGAACAGUGAGAUGCAUACAUACUCCUUACUUCAGGUACUCUUGCAAAGUAAUAAGUUGGUCUCUGGGAGCAUUCAGUAAAGAAGAUAACUGAAAACACAUUUCCUACUUUUUUUUCUAGAAAGCACUUUGAACAAAAGACCACUUUUUAUGAAAACAGGACAUAAUUCAUGUAUCUUCUGUAACCACGGUGUUAAAAGAAGAGAGGGAGUUACAGUCAUUUCUUUGAAAUAAUGACAUUGGCACCUACUGUCAAAUACUGUGGACUAUGAACAGUAAAGCUCCCAAUCCCCGUUUAACAGAAUGACUUAUAUUUCUUCUAGGCGCCUUAUUAGUCACUUCUACAUAUGUGUUGUUUGUUGUUGUUGUUUUUUUUCUUCCCCACUGUCUUGAUAUUUCUACUUCUUUUUCUAGUGUAGAAAUGUUGCAAUGGUACCAUUUAGUGUCAUACCAAAGUUUCACACACUCAUAUGGCUUCAAGAUGAUGUUAAUUUGUCUCUUCUUUCAAAUACCAACUGUCAGAUGGUUCUCCUACCAGUGUAUUCCGAUGGUCAAGUGAUACUUAUUUUUCCCUCAGAGCCCUACAGGAUAGCUGUCACAGCUGCAAAUAAUCAUAUAUAUGGUAAAGAAAUCUAUAGAAUGUGAGAUUCUUAGAAGUAUCCACAAUCUACUAGAUCUGUCAGAUUUUGACCAAAGGGACCAAAAGAGACCUGGAUCAUAUUUUAUGUCAUAUUUUGUGCUUUAUUUUUGAUUUUUCAAGAUUCUAAGAUGAAACAUAUGGAAUUUUACCAGCAGACUAGUUAUGCAGAGCAGUAUUUAUGGUUUUUUAGCCUGCACCAUAUUUAAGUAAAAAGUAGAGUUGCUAGGGAAGUAUUAGUGGUAAUUCCUAAGAAGGAAAACCCAGAGGGCCUUAUGCCUUUCUUGUUUGACUAGAGAUGAAGAGAAAUUCUUCCAGUUGGUACAAAUCUCCAUGUCAAUUAAGACUACACAGAGAGUAGUAGAUACAAUUAAUAACCUAAAUUAUAAACUAGAAAAGAAAGGAAAAAAAAAUGAAAAAAAAAUGCACAGUUUAAAAUUAAAAAGCUCUCAGCAAAUGACAGUAACAAAUCUAGAAAAGUGUAUCUUUAUUUAACAGAUUGUAAAUUCAGCAAAAUUGUUUACUACAGUAGGACUUUGAAAAACACUAUAGAAAUGCUGUAUAGAAAUGAUAAUUAUUAACAGAAAUUAGAAAGAUGAGAAGAAAGAACAUUCAGUAGUAUUUGUGGAGGUUUGGUUUUCUCCCACCAAAGUGAUCUAGGGAUGUACAGAUGCAAAAGAUAUUGUGGAGAUUAUUCCAUGUCUGAUCUAUAAAUAAAUUUUGUGAGCUCUUAUCCAGAAGUCUACCAACAAGAUGCCCCUGCAGAGCUCCAAAUCACAAGUAUGUCACAUCAGGUAAUAAGCCAGUUAAAUCUAUUUCAUAAGUCCUACAACAUAAAGACUUCCCGGAAACAUCUGGGCUACCCAGUACUUGCUUAAAUCUACUAGACUUGUAAUAAUUAAUAAAGACUUAAUAUAUUAUUAAGUUUAGUAGACUUAAUAAUACAAACAUGACAAAAAAAAAAAUCAGACUAUUAGAGAAUAAGUAUUUCUCCCUGAAGAAUACAUUAUUAACAUUAUUAAAAAAAAAUCCACAUAUGAAGUACGUGUUCAAAUAGUAAGACAUGGAAAUAUGUUUUGUAGUUUGUAAAAUAUUUUGUUUGCAAGGAUUUCCUAAUGAUAUAUUUAGCAAUGGAGAAGAACAUUCCCCAGAGACAAAAGUAUCAAAAAUUAAGGAAACAGUAGAAUUAUAGAGCACAGGCUAAUUUCAAAUAUUUCACCUUUGCAAAAUUUUUUGCACAUAAAAAGAUGGUUUAUUUUGUGUGGUGAAACAUGCCCCAUUUCAUAAAUUCCUUCUGACAGGGAGAGUAAAUAGUCCAAAAACAAGCUAUUGAUAUGCUGACCUGAGACUUUUUGCAUGCUUGAAUAUCAUUUAGGAGAGUUCAUCACUGAAUAUUGUUUUAAUUUUCCCUCAUUCUGCAGUGGUGGUACCUAGCUAUACAGUUGCCACAAUUUAUAAGACUGAAAGUUAACAUAAAAGCUAGCUGAGGUAGCAAAACUGUCAGGGGUUUAUUUCACCCUUUUAAAGCCUCUGAAAUUAUGGAAAACAAGAUGGGGAAAUAAAAACCUUGUGUUUUUUCCUGCAGUUCUACACAAUUGUUCAUGACAUACAUAUAAACAGCAAUAAAGUUACAGCAAAUUUAUUUUCAGAGACCUGCAACAUUCAUCAAUCAAUGUCCUACUGAUGCAUAAAGGCUGAGGCUGACACUUAGCUUCAUAAAAUUCUCACUAAAGUAUAAACUCUUUGUUAUGCAUUAAGUUUUGAUCUUUGCUGAAGUUGAAUAUGAAAGUAGUAUCACUCCACACUACUGCCACUAUUGCAGACAACUUGAAAUCAAAGUUGUAGAGUAGAUUUUCUCUUCUUCAGACAACAAUUUUUAAAUGUCAAGUUAUGGCUAGCAUCCUACUACAAAUACAUCAUUUGAGCAUUUUUAUGAUAGAAAAUUAAGUGUAUAUUUUUUCCAUCCUUUCUGUUUAUCUAAAUUUAUUAAUACAUGAGUUAUUCUAUGACUUAAAUCACAAUACGAAAUGCUUAUUUUCUGAGGCAGCUAUUUUCUCUUUGAUAUUAGCAUUUAAAAUGUAAGGCAACUUGCUUGCAGAUGCACAGCUGGCAUUGCUGCUCAAGACUUGUAAACACGUGCAAGGAAUCUGCUGUAAAGCAUGGGUUUAUGCCUUUGACCUUAUGUCAACAAUAUAAAAAUCAAGGCAAUUGGAGACUGCAUGUAGUACAAUACUUAGGUAUAUACACUUAAUUCAUCUCUAUAAUAAUGGGUCAGCCAAAUCUUCUCACCCAGUCUAUCAGUUUCUUGACAUGACAUGCCAGUUCAGCCUGAAUAAGAUGCACUGCUUUAAUAUUAGAAAAGGAAUCUUCCUUUAUCUCAUUAAGUAAUGAGACUACUUUUCUGGCCUCUUACCCACAAAUAAGUACAUGGAGUAAAUUACUAGAACAGUAGGUUUUUUCCAGAGGAUGUGUUAUUGCAAGCAGCCUAAGAGAUCUUUUCAUGGAGAAAUUGUAAGUUAUUUGAAUCUUUAUAACAUUUUACAUUCCUUCAUCUCAGGCAGUACAAGGAAUCUUUCAGUCUUUAUGUAUUUUUUGGUCCAAGAUUUGAAGUAUUAUAUGACUAAGUCAGUACUUUCUUUAGAAUACUAUGUUCAUAACAACCUCUCUUUUAUAUAACCAGGUCUAAAACCAUAGAGCAUUCAUUCAGAUGAUCACUGGGACUUUUUUUUUUUUAAUCUAUUUAUUUUAAUUUUUCAAAUGGAGUUUUCAUUCUGGAAACGAUUCAGUAUUGUCAUUAUUUCUUUAGGUGGAAACCUAAAGCCUUAUGAAAAAUCUUAUAACUUUUUUCCCUUUUCCUCAUGAGGAAUAUAAGAAUUAUUAUAAGAAAGGAUUUUGUAUAUUAAUCUAUCCAUAAAACAUUAAAGUAAGACGAUAACUUUUGAAGCUUUCUUGAAAAUGUUAACCAAAUCAAACAGAAGUUUUUCAAUCCUAAGACAUAUUUGCAUCAAGAAAAAACACUAAAAUAAAAAAAUUAUAUAUUUAUAUUUUCACUUCACCAGAAUGUGUAUUUUAAAUACAUGGUAGAUUUCUACUUUAGAACCAAUUUCAAAAUUAAUUUUUAAAAGAACCAAAGCAAUUCUAUAACUAGCUAGAAAAGAAACUAAGCUUCAUCUCUUUCUGCGCUACAGGUGUUAACAUCAGGCUACCUGGUAGUGGUUAAACAGAUCGCUUUCUAAAUAAUUACAGUAGAAAACCCCAUGCCCUCUUCAAAAGGAAGGAAAAAAAAACCAGCAAGUUUUGUAUAAAGAAUUUUUCUUAUGUCUUACAGAAAAAUUAAAACUUCUAAGUUGAAUCUGUUAAUCCCUGAAAAAAUGAAUUGAACAGGAUAAAACAUAAGAGUUAAAAGACAGUUUCAAUAUAAUAGUUAACAUAGUACUAAGCAUGGUAACUGGAUAGAUAAGAUAACUGGAUAGAUAGAUAAAAAAAGAAAACAUGCUAUGAAAUAGAUCAUGUUAAAUAUAUAUUUAAAUAGAACUUAGAAUCAGUUGCACUUCAUACGUUGUUUCAUAUCACUUUUAGUAGGGAGUAUAAUCAGUAUAAUUUAAGUUUGGGUUCUCUAACUGACUGCUGAAAUCAUUAAAAAUGGCAUGUAAAUAUAAAAAAGAGGAAGAUAAAAUUCUUACUACACUGAAAUGUGGUACUGAGUGAAUACAUAAGUCAGCAGAAACAGUAAUUUUGGGGGGUAAUAAGAAAGGGUUUUGGAGAUUAAACCUUGAAGUUGGGCAAUAUCACAUUCAUUUUUAAGAAGGGUAGAAAGGAUGAGGCAGGGAACCAUGAAACUGUCAGCCUCACAUCUGUGAUGGGGAAGAUCACAGAGCAGAUCCUCCUGGAAGCUAUACGAAAGCACAUGGAAGAGACAACCAGUGUUACUUCACCAAGGGCAGGUCCUGCCUGACCAACUUAAUGGCCUUUUGUGAUGAACCAAUGGACAACGGAAGAUGUUCAAAUUGGAAAGAUAUAGAUUUGGUGGGUAGACUCUAUGAUAAACAAGGAAUUAGUUGCAAGAUCAUAACCAGAGAGUGGUGAUCAAUUCAUCAAAGCCCAAAUGGGGAUCAGUGAUGAGUGGGGUCCCUCAGGGUUCAGCACCGAGACUGAUGCUCUUUAACACUACAGUGGACUCUCAGCAAGUUUUCAGAUAAUAAACUGUGUGGUGCAGUCAACAUGCCUGAGGGAUGGGAUAUCCAAGGGAUGGGAUGCCAUCCAGAGAAGCCUACACAGGCUCAAGCAGUGGGUGCAGGGGAAUUUCAUGAGGUUCAACAAAAACAAGUGCAAGGUCUUGCAUUUGGGUUGUAGCAACUCACACUAUCAAUACAAGCUGGGGAGCACACCCCUGAUGAAAAGGACUCAUGAGUACUGGUGGAUGGUAAGCUGGACAGGAGCCAGCAAUGUGCCCUUGAAGCCUGAAAGGCCAACCAUAUCCUGGGUUGCAUCCAAAGAAGCAAGGUCAGAAGGUCUGUGGAGGUAAUCCUGCACCUCUACUGUGCGCUGAGACAUCACCUGGAGUACUGCGUUCAGAUGUGGAGUUCGCAAUAUAGGAGAGAUGUGGACCUGUUGGAGCACUUCCAGACGGAGACCACAAAAAUAGUUUAAGGAACUAUUGGGAGGAUGGAACACCUCUCCUGCAAGGACAGGCUGAGAGAGUUGGGAUGUUCAGUCUGGAAAAGAGAAGGGUCUAGUGAAAUCUGAUAGCAGCCUUUCAGUGUCUAAA